rnacentral:rRNA from 1 species
UACGUAGGGUGCGAGCGUUGUCCGGAAUUAUUGGGCGUAAAGGGCUCGUAGGCGGUUUGUCGCGUCGGGAGUGAAAACACCGGGCUUAACUCGGUGCUUGCUUCCGAUACGGGCAGACUAGAGGCAUGCAGGGGAGAACGGAAUUCCUGGUGUAGCGGUGAAAUGCGCAGAUAUCAGGAGGAACACCGGUGGCGAAGGCGGUUCUCUGGGCCGUAACUGACGCUGAGGAGCGAAAGCGUGGGGAGCGAACAGG